UAAGGAAUAUUGGUCAAUGGACGCAAGUCUGAACCAGCCAUGCCGCGUGAAGGAUGAAGGUCCUCUGGAUUGUAAACUUCUUAUAUCUGGGACGAAAACGGGAUUUUUAUCUCAAUUGACGGUACCAGAGGAAUAAGCACCGGCUAACUCCGUGCCAGCAGCCGCGGUAAUACGGAGGGUGCGAGCGUUAUCCGGAUUUACUGGGUUUAAAGGGUGCGUAGGUGGGCUUAUAAGUCAGUGGUGAAAUCUCCGAGCUUAACUUGGAAACUGCCGUUGAUACUAUAGGUCUUGAAUUAUCUGGAGGUAAGCGGAAUAUGUCAUGUAGCGGUGAAAUGCUUAGAUAUGACAUAGAACACCAAUUGCGAAGGCAGCUUACUACAUAUAAAUUGACGCUGAGGCACGAAAGCGUGGGGAUCAAACA
rnacentral:rRNA from 1 species